GCCAGAUAAGGGAAGCAGGCCUCCGAAGCCAGCAGUGGCAACCCACUUGGGUCCCUUUCAAUGCUGUGGAAGCGUUGUUCUUUCACUCUUCUCAAUAAAUCUUGCUGCUGCUCACUCUUUGGGUCUGCCCCGCUGUUAUGAGCUGUAACACUCACAGCCAGUGUCUGCAGUUUCACUCCUGAAGCCAGCAAGACCACAAACCCACAGGGCGGGACAAACAACUCCGGACAGGAGGAAUGAACAACUCUGGACGCGCCACUUCUAUGAACUUUUAUGAACUGUAACACUCACCGCAAAGGUCUGCAGCUUCACCCCUGAGGCCAGGGAGACCACGAACCCACCGGAAGGAAUGAACAACUCCAGACGCACUGCCUUUAAGAGCUGUAACACUUACCACGGAUGUCUGCAGCUUCACUCCUGAAGUCAGCGAGACCACAAACCCAACAGAAGGAAGAAACUCCCGACACAUCUGAACAUCUGAAGGAACAAACUCUGGACACACCAUCUUUAAGAACUGUAACACUCACCGUGAGGGUCAACCGCUUCAUUCUUGAAGUCAGCCAGACCAAGAACCCACCAAUUCCGGACUAAUCAAGAAAACAACUUGACCCAUGGAGAAUGGAGAAAAGCAAGGCAGGAUGAUCAUCCACCAGGCAGCAAUACGGAACCAAGGGGACCUCCCCUGCCCUAGGAAGUGAGUCUCACUUUGUUGCCUAAGCUAGAGUGCAGCGUCGUGAUCAAGGCUCACUGCAGCCUCAACAUCCUGAUCCCCAGUGUUCCUCCCACCUCAACCUCCCAAGUAGCUGGGACCACAGGGUUUCAUCAUUUUUGGCCAUGCUGGCCUUGAACGCCUAACCUCAAAUGAUCCACCUGCCUUGGCCUCCUGAAGUUCUGGGAGUUAUAGGCAUGAGUCACCAUGCCUGGCACCACAUAAAAUUAUUUUGUCAUUAACAUUACAUUUUAAAAUACAAACGCUGUUUUCCAUAUUACUCAGGUCAGAUCUUUUACCCCACUUCUCUCAGUGAGAUUGCAUUAUUUAUUUCCAUCUCUAUAAUCUACUGUUCAUCCAUCUAUCUAUCCAUCCCUCAAUUUAGUUUUUUCACUACAUUCUGCAUUUGAUUCUUUUGAGGGUGUAUGCUUGUGUUUGUGCGUGGAAGUGGGGGUGUGUGUGUGUGUGUGUGUUCAAAAAGGUCUACAGUUUCCUUUUUCUGUAAUAUCUGUGUCUGCUGUUGGUAUUAGGGUAAUGCUGAACUCAUAGAGUAUGUGAAAAGUUUUCUACAUUCUUUGAUUUUUCUGAAAGAAAUUGUGCAGAAUUCAUAUUAUUUCUUUCUUAAAUGCUCAAGUGUUUAUUAAAAUUUACCAGUAAAA
rnacentral:lncRNA from 1 species